CGUGAUUUGGGCUAUAUUACGGACCCAAAAUUACUUGUUCAAGCAUUGUUUUCGAAUUUUUUCAUGCAUCAAAGCUCGUUAAGACUAGAUGGGGUAUCCCUACAUAGCGGGUGGGACCCACGGUGAAUGGUUCAUCAAGUCUUCAAAAAAGAAUAUAUACGAUUGCAUUGCAUAUACUAACGGAUGCGAUCAUACCAGCACUAAUGCACCGGAUCCCAUCAGAACUCCGCAGUUAAGCGUGCUUGGGCGAGAGUAGUACUAGGAUGGGUGACCUCCCGGGAAGUCCUCGUGUUGCAUCCCUAUUUUAUGUUUAACCUUUUUUUUUUUGGUUAAAACUUUAUGACUCCAUAACUUUUAGACCGUGAGGCCAAACUUGGCAUGUGAUACCUUUUCGGAAAGCCCAAAGACAGCCCUCCGACGAAAGAAGCAGGACAAUGGAAUUCUUCCAUUGACUUUUUGUCGACCCCAAUUUUGACCUUUAAUUACUUUNNCNGGAAUCAC
rnacentral:rRNA from 1 species